rnacentral:misc_RNA from 1 species
GCAAACUUGGUCAUUUAGAGGAAGUAAAAGUCGUAACAAGGUUUCCGUAGGUGAACCUGCGGAAGGAUCAUUAUCGAGUUUUGACUGGGUUGUAGCUGGCCUCCCGAGGCAUGUGCACGCCCUGCUCAUCCACUCUACACCUGUGCACUCACUGUGGGCUUCAGAUUGUCGUGAAGCGGGCUCCUUACCGGGCUUGUGAAGCGGUGUCUGUGCCUGCGUUUACUACAAACUAUUAAAGUAUCAGAAUGUGUAUUGCGAUGUAACGCAUCUAUAUACAACUUUCAGCAACGGAUCUCUUGGCUCUCGCAUCGAUGAAGAACGCAGC